rnacentral:rRNA from 1 species
AUGACCAGAGAUAAUCUUAGGAAGAGACAAAUUAUUAAACCUCUCGACUGCGUUUACUGCUCUGAGGCAGAAACAAAUGCCCACCUAUUUUUUGAAUGCAUAGUAGCUAAGCAGAUCUGGCCUCUGGUCUCUGAUCUCUUUGAGGUGAAUGUUAGCACUUUUGAAUCAAUUGCUAAAAUCUGGGUAGCUAAUGGCAAGCAUUCUGCCCUUAACACUGUUAAUACAACGGUGCUUUGGUGUCUUUGGAAAUAUAGGAACUCUAUUAUUUUCAAUAACACCUUGUGGAUCUCGAUCAAACAGGUACUGAGACUGAUCCUCAGGACUGUCAAAAACUGGACAGUGCUAUCCUCCGGCAAGAAUGCAGAGAGACUGGAGGUCUUCUCAGAGCAUCUUACGAACUGCCUUCGCCGCCCCCUGUUGAUCAGUGGCUGA